AAAUCUCCUCCCUCCUGGAAGCUGUGGGCCAGCCCACUGAAAUACUUUCAGUUUUGUUUUCUUGCCUUACGGAAAUGAAACUCAACAGAAAGACUGCAGGAGACCAGGAGAUGGAAGACACCCUCCAGGUGUGCCCAAACUGCAAAAAAAAUGUGGCCUCUUUCCACUUCGCCCUCCAUGAGGCUCACUGCCUGCGGUUCCUCGUCUUCUGCCCGGAGUGUGAGGAGGCCAUCCCAAGGGCAAAGAUGGAAGAGCAUCGCAAGGCCUGCCACCAGCAGGAGGUGGCAGGAGGGAUAAGGUUUGGGAGUCAGGACUUCACAGACGCAGACAUGGGACAAAGUGAGCCAAGAUGGAUGAGGAUCCCAUAUGACCCCCAGAUAUUUGGGCGUGAUAUGCAUCAGCAGAGCGUGCAGAAGCCCUCAAUGGAAUUUCACGAGGCCAAGGAAUGCCAGGAGCACUCCUCUAAGUGUAAGUUCUGCAAACUGGCCAUGCAGCUCAGCAAGCUGGAGGUCCACGAGUUCCAGUGUGGCAAUCGAACAGAGCUCUGCCCCAACUGUGGCCAGUUCAUCACACUCCAAGUGCUGGCCCAGCACAAAGAUGUCUGUUGGCAUGAACAGGCCCAGCUCAAGAAAGGGGAAAGAAUUUCAGCUUCUGAAAGGGAAAUCUACUAUCACUGUUGCAACCAAACGAUUCCAGAAAAUAAUCAUUCCCACCAUAUGGAAAAUUCCAUUUUUCCAAACUCAGAGUUUGAGAAACAUUUUCCAGUUGGAGAGCUCACAAUUCCUCCUCCAUCUCUCCCAAGUCAGGCCGCUAAAAAUCAAACCUCCACAGCAGAGGAAGUUGUCCGUCCAAAGAUAAAAAAUAUAAACGGAUUUCCUCUUCUUUCUGGAAGUUCAUCAAAGCAAGCAUCAAGUGGCAAAAACAAAACUGGGGGUCUGCCUCCAAAGUCUGAGUUCAAGACCAGGACCACCUCCUCUGUAGAAGAUGAGACAGACUAUGACAUUCUGAGGAGAUGCUCUCAGUGUGGUAUUCUACUUCCCCUGCCCACCCUCAAUCAACAUCAGGUACCCGGCCUCUCUUCUGUCCUGUCUGUCCUGUGAACCACUUGAACAGUGGCAGAGAAAUUUAGUACCUGCAGGAUAUUUGCAAAUGUCCCCUCUUCUCUGUGUGCCCAAAUGCACUCCCUCUUAGUACUUAGCACCGAGUUAUCUGUAUUACCUCCCAGAGAUAGGGUUACCUUUGAAGAUAGAUAGAACUAGAUGUCUCAUCUCUGAAUCUCCACCUUCUAACCCAGGGAUUGACACACAGCAAGUGCUUCAAAACCGUUGAGUAAAUGAAUGAAGCAGGGGGUACCCAGUCUGUGUCUCUCUUUCUCUCUCUCUCUCUCUCUCUCUGUUUCUCUCUCUCUCUGUAGAUAUGGCACCUGGGCCCAGAGAUCAGAAGUGUCUUGGUCAAGAUCCCAGGAGAAAUGCUGGCGGUUAGCUUCAUCAAAGGAAAACAAGUGAGGAAUUCCAACUUGGUUUUGG